rnacentral:rRNA from 1 species
ACGACUACACUCCUACGGGAGGCAGCAGUGGGGAAUAUUGGACAAUGGGCGAAAGCCUGAUCCAGCAAUGCCGCGUGAGUGAUGAAGGCCUUAGGGUUGUAAAGCUCUUUACCCGGGAUGAUAAUGACAGUACCGGGAGAAUAAGCCCCGGCUAACUCCGUGCCAGCAGCCGCGGUAAUACGGAGGGGGCUAGCGUUGUUCGGAAUUACUGGGCGUAAAGCGCGCGUAGGCGGCUUUGUAAGUUAGAGGUGAAAGCCCGGGGCUCAACUCCGGAAUUGCCUUUAAGACUGCAUCGCUAGAAUCAUGGAGAGGUUAGUGGAAUUCCGAGUGUAGAGGUGAAAUUCGUAGAUAUUCGGAAGAACACCAGUGGCGAAGGCGACUAACUGGACAUGUAUUGACGCUGAGGUGCGAAAGCGUGGGGAGCAAACAGGAUUAGAUACCCUAGUAGUCCACCAAUCC